AUUGAACGCUGGCGGCAGGCCUAACACAUGCAAGUCGAACGGUAACAGGAAGAUGCUUGCUUCUUUGCUGACGAGUGGCGGACGGGUGAGUAAUGUCUGGGAAACUGCCUGAUGGAGGGGGAUAACUACUGGAAACGGUAGCUAAUACCGCAUAACGUCGCAAGACCAAAGAGGGGGACCUUCGGGCCUCUUGCCAUCGGAUGUGCCCAGAUGGGAUUAGCUAGUAGGUGGGGUAACGGCUCACCUAGGCGACGAUCCCUAGCUGGUCUGAGAGGAUGACCAGCCACACUGGAACUGAGACACGGUCCAGACUCCUACGGGAGGCAGCAGUGGGGAAUAUUGCACAAUGGGCGCAAGCCUGAUGCAGCCAUGCCGCGUGUAUGAAGAAGGCCUUCGGGUUGUAAAGUACUUUCAGCGGGGAGGAAGGGAGUAAAGUUAAUACCUUUGCUCAUUGACGUUGCCCGCAGAAGAAGCACCGGCUAACUCCGUG
rnacentral:rRNA from 1 species